rnacentral:misc_RNA from 1 species
AACGCACAUUGCGCCCCUUGGUAUUCCGGGGGGCAUGCCUGUUCGAGCGUCAUUACAACCCUCAAGCCUGGCUUGGUAUUGGGCCCCGCCGCUCACCCGGCGGGCCUUAAAAUCAGUGGCGGUGCCGUCGUGGCCCUGAGCGUAGUAAAUACCCUCGCUAUAGGACCCGCUGGUUACCUGCCAGCAACCCCCAACUUUCUAAGUUUGACCUCGGAUCAGGUAGGGAUACCCGCUGAACUUAA